UACGUAGGGUGCGAGCGUUUGUCCGGAAUUAUUGGGCGUAAAGAGCUCGUAGGCGGCCUGUCACGUCGACUGUGAAAACCCAGGGCUCAACCCUGGGCCUGCAGUCGAUACGGGCAGGCUAGAGUAUGGUAGGGGAGACUGGAAUUCCUGGUGUAGCGGUGAAAUGCGCAGAUAUCAGGAGGAACACCGGUGGCGAAGGCGGGUCUCUGGGCCAUAACUGACGCUGAGGAGCGAAAGCGUGGGGAGCGAACAGG
rnacentral:rRNA from 1 species